rnacentral:rRNA from 1 species
AUUGAACGCUGGCGGCAGGCUUAACACAUGCAAGUCGAGCGGGGUGAUGGUGCUUGCACUAUCACUUAGCGGCGGACGGGUGAGUAAUGCUUAGGAAUCUGCCUAUUAGUGGGGGACAACAUCUCGAAAGGGAUGCUAAUACCGCAUACGUCCUACGGGAGAAAGCAGGGGAUCACUUGUGACCUUGUGCUAAUAGAUGAGCCUAAGUCGGAUUAGCUAGUUGGUGGGGUAAAGGCCUACCAAGGCGACGAUCUGUAGCGGGUCUGAGAGGAUGAUCCGCCACACUGGGACUGAGACACGGCCCAGACUCCUACGGGAGGCAGCAGUGGGGAAUAUUGGACAAUGGGGGGAACCCUGAUCCAGCCAUGCCGCGUGUGUGAAGAAGGCCUUAUGGUUGUAAAGCACUUUAAGCGAGGAGGAGGCUUACCUAGUUAAUACCUGGGAUAAGUGGACGUUACUCGCAGAAUAGGCACCGGCUAACUCUGUGCCAGCAGCCGCGGUAA